rnacentral:rRNA from 1 species
UACGGGGGGAGCAAGCGUUGUUCGGAUUUACUGGGCGUAAAGGGCGCGUAGGCGGCGCAACAAGUCACUUGUGAAAUCUCCGGGCUUAACCCGGAGCGGCCAAGUGAUACUGUCGUGCUAGAGUGCGGAAGGGGCUACUGGAAUUCUCGGUGUAGCGGUGAAAUGCAUAGAUAUCGAGAGGAACACCUGCGGCGAAGGCGGGUAGCUGGGCCGACACUGACGCUGAGGCGCGACAGCGUGGGGAGCAAACAGG